AAUUUUCUUGCAAGUUCCAGCUUCCUCUACAUCUCAUUGGCCUAAAUUGGAAUGUGACCACCUUCGGCAGGGAGACAAUAUAAUGUUCAUUAAACCAACUGUAUUUUAUUAUUUUAUGGGGAUGUUUUACUGUCUUUAUGUUUGUAUACCACAUGCAUGCCUAGUGCCUGCGGAGGCUGGAAGAAGUCAUUUAUUCCCUGGGAAUGUAGUUAAAGGUGGUUAUGAAGUGCUGUGUGGUGCUGGGAAUUGAACCCAGGUCCUUUAGAAGAGCAUCCAAUGCUCUAAACCUCUGAACCACAUCUCUAAACCCCAUAGUCGUCAUAAUUAGCUUAUAUUCUUUAAGUGCUAGGUAUAUUGCUGACUCGAAUAGGUUGAGUUUCUUAUAUAAAAGGGAAACCUGACCAUGAGUUGGGGAGAACUUUAGGAUGCCUUUGUUAUACUACACUAUGUAUGAAGUGUGAAAGUGAAGGAUCGAGUGUGUGACAUAGUUAUGCAUAGUGUUCCCUUUGGGAUUUCCCAGGCUUCGUGGCUGAAAGCCUCUUUCUAAGUCUGUAUCUGCCAUGUGAUGGUCCCAGCCCAGGCAUAGAUGCUGUGAAGGAAGUGUGGGCUCACAUUCAGAAUGGUCCUACAGCUGAAAUUCUUACUGUAUUCCUUGUUGGUCUUUCCACCAAGUGCCUCACUCUUCCUGCCCUGGGUCCUGGUACUCUCCUGCCGAAUGGUGCAUGUUACAUAGACCAGCUAGGUGAAAGACACGUUUGCCUCUGCCUUCUACUAACCUCCCCUUUUCUCUCUCUCCUCCUGUUUCUCCUUUCCUCUUCCCCUCUCUGUUGCUGCUGCAGAGCGUCUCUACAGCCAACUUGAGCGAAACCGCCUGCUUUCUAAUGAGCUGAAGCUAACGCUGCAUGGUCUUUGUGACUGACGGGCAGGGCUCCCUGAUGCCCAGUAAACCCACACCACUGACCUGGACCCAGCCAAAAGCUGACUGCCUUUUAAAAAGUCACUGUUCGCCCUAAGCAAGUUGCUUUUUAAUGAGGGCAGCUAGACUACUGUUGAUUUCCUGGCAGCCCCCUUCAAGUUGCAAUGGCUAUUUCUAUUCUAGAAGAGAUUGUGGGUGAUGAAGAUGGGGCCUGGGAGGUUUAGUGCGGAACUUGGAAACCGUUAGCUGCAGCCCUCUCACCUGUAUACUGACUGUAGGGUUUGCUCACCUGCAUGGUUAUUUUCUAACAAUAAAAACACUGACUUGACAAGAUGUUGUAGCUGCUUCAUCUGCAGGCCCAGGGACGGGCUCUUCUGACUGGGUGGAAAUGGGGAUGGGAAAGACGGGUGUGUGCUGUGAAAAUGGCCUGAUUUGCGCGUUUUCUUCCCUGAAGCUCUGUGGUUUACUUGCUAAGCAGGUGAAUGCUUGGUGUCCCUCCACUGGCUUUCUUCCUGAUAGUUUUCCUUCUUGCUGCUUUUGUGUUUAGUUGUAAGUCACUGUCUGGGUCAGCUCUGUUAAUAACUCUGCUAAAAUCUCAAUGGGGUUCUACUUAACAAGAAUGCACCUGGGUAGUAUUCCUGACUUAAACCUGAGGGCUCCUGUCCUCCCCACUUUGAAGAAGGUACCUACUGUAGGAGGAUCUUGUGCUCUUUACCUGAGAUUUUGAUCUGUCCUUGUCUGCUGUGGUCUUACUCUACUGUAGCAUUUCAAGUAGGUAAUGACCUUCGGACAGAGCCAAAGAGUGGGUGGGUGCCUGGUGCUUUCUGCCGGAUCCUCUGGAGACUGAAAGCUGAAUACCUUUUGGUUGCUUGUGGGAGGGAGAGGAAAUGAUAGAUAAGCCCAGUUCCCUCCCCCAGGUAGUAGAGAAAGUCCUUGGCUUUCAAUAAGCAAGCCGGAGGUGCCACCGAACCCAGGGGUGUGGUAGCUGCCUCCUGUAACUUUUUUGCAACUGGAACAAGUCUCAGAAUGGGGAGAACUUGGAACCUUGUAUAACGCUCUUCUUUAUUAUUCCCACUAGAUAAGCUGAAGUGCACCAAAGAGGAGCAUCUCUGUACACAAAGGAUGCUGGACCAGACCCUGCUGGACCUGAACGAGAUGUAGACCUUCCCCAUCCCUGCCCUGCCCUGCGGCCGC
rnacentral:lncRNA from 1 species